CAGUAGCCGCGGGAAAACAGAGGGUGCGAGCGUUAAUCGGAUUUACUGGGCGUAAAGCGUGCGUAGGCGGCUAAUUGAGUCGGAUGUGAAAUCCCCGAGCUUAACUUGGGAAUUGCAUUCGAUACUGGUUAGCUAGAGUGUGGGAGAGGAUGGUAGAAUUCCAGGUGUAGCGGUGAAAUGCGUAGAGAUCUGGAGGAAUACCGAUGGCGAAGGCAGCCAUCUUGCCUAACACUGACGCUGAGGUACGAAAGCAUGGGGAGCAAACAGGAUUAGAUACCCCGGUAGUCCCUGUCUCUUAUAC
rnacentral:rRNA from 1 species